GAGAACAGGAAGGGGGAGGGAGGUGUGGAGAAGUAAAGAAAGAGAGGGAUAGGGUCAAAAAGAGUAGAGCAGGAAAAGAUAGAAAGAAGGGGGUAGAGGAGGAGGAGGGCGGGAGGGUUGAGGAAGACGGGAGCAGGAGGAAGAAGGAAGAAAGUGUUUUCUGUGAAGUAGAGGGAGUUUUGAGUGAUAGUGAACAUAUUGUAGAUGAAGCUUUGAGAGGAGCAGGACGCUGAGAAGCACCAGCGCUGUCAGAGCACCCUCAGGGACAGCCACGGGCCGUCCGUCAGCCGUUAUCUGGAGAGACGACACGUUUUCUACCUGCAGCCCGGAAUCAGCUGAACGGCGGGGUUAAGAUGUGUACCCACCCUUGGCAUCAUCAGAUCAUCGACCUCCAAUUGAGCGAGCGGCGGAUGCAGGAAUCUGUAUUGAGACUGCCCCCUAAUGGAGACAAAGUGUACUGCACACAUGCUGCUAUCUCCCGUGUUCAUCCUUCUUUUCCAGCCGACAUUUCUUAUUUUGAAACACCUUCACUACACACGGCUGUAAUAAGUAGUAUGGUGAUUAUAAAGAGGUCGCAGAGGUAAGUACUGUGUCUGUUUUAAUGAUAAUGAGGUGUCGGCUGCUCUCUGAGAAACAAACCGUGGACAUGUGGUGGCGUCCUGCCAGCCUCUCGUUUUUGUGUCUCUGACUCACUGAAGAUGAACUCCUGACUUCACACUGCCUCUGA